rnacentral:rRNA from 1 species
AGAAAAAUUUUUUAUAGUUUUAUAAUUUAUUUAAAUUUAUUUUACAUACAAAUUUUAGUGUUAAAAUUUAAUUAUUUAAAUAAUAAUUUAUUUUAGUAGUAAUUAAUUUUAAAUUAUUUAAGAAAUUAAGAUUUAGUAAUAUUUAAAUAAAUAACUAAUUUUGUGCCAGCAGUUGCGGUUAUACAAAAAUUUAAUUAAAAUUUUUUAGUAAAUAAUAAAUAAUAAUUAAAUAAAAAUAAAAAUUAAAUUAUUAAGUAAAAUUUUAAUUUAAUAAAAAUUUUAUUAAAAAUUAUGAUUUAA